GCUUCCCCUGUGACGCAACUUACAACAGAAUGUAAUCUCUGUGUAAUUCACAGUAAUGUUCACCAGUUGAUCAUGCGAGAUAUAAUUCAAGCAAACUAAUAUAAAGUGUGUUGGUCUGCAACACUCCAAAAUAAUUUCUUGAAGCGUGGUUUCAACUGGUUUUGAGAGUUAUGGCUUUCUGAGACAAGUUCUCAUGCUGAAGCUGUUCCUGGCCUACAACUCACUAUCCAGCCUCUGCUGUCCUUGAAUUCCUGGCAGUCCUGCCUCACCUUGUGGCUAUUGAUAUUACAAGCACGAGACACCGUUGUCUGGAAGAUACAAUAUCAUUUUCUGGAGUGAGGUGGACUAUCAAGGCAGCAGGGGUGUGUGGUAGAACAUGGCCCAUUUCCUGAGGGGCAGGAAGCAGAAAGAAAAGUUCACACCCUUCGAAGACACACAGUAAGUGACUGGCUCCUCCAACCAGGACCUGCCUUGUGCUGGGACCUGCUCGUACUAGCCUGUGAAAACCGGGCUGGCUCAUCUCUACUCAACACCACAUUGAGUGGCAUCAAAUUGAUGCUUGAAAUGGGCCAUUGUGGGAGAAUUACAAAAAUUGGUAAGGGCUACAAAUGUGAGUUGCUGGACUUUGAUCAGCACACCGCUAGUCCUGUGUGAGCUUCAUGAGACUACAAGCAAGAAGAUGAGACUUCCCAAGAUAGACUGCUUCAAAUUUGUGCUAAACUGGGAAAAAAUACUAGAAGAAUUCUACCUCUUCCCACUUCCUUGCCUAUAUGUUUCCUCUUUUCCUAUCCAGCCAUGGAAAGUCCAAGUAUUACUCUUCAGAUUAAAAGGUUUGCCAUAGCAACUGUUUCUUUUCAGGUGUCCUGUAUGUACUUAUAAUAUGAUGAAUGAUGAUGGGAUACAAGUAAUAAAUCUCAGUCCAGAGGAAGGGGAAAGGCUGUUUUAUUAACCCCUUUGAAAUUCAGGAUGUCAGUAUGUAGGGGUGUUUGUGCCACUCCCUUCUUCCUGGUGCUUUGCCCUCAAUUAUUCGUUCAGAAAUGAAUGGUGAAGCAGGAAGUUACUUCUGAUUCAUGGCGACAGUGGUCUGAGUAAUUCAUUUGUGUAAAAAGUACCAACGGAAGCCAUGAGACUCUGAUGAUUUUUUUUCCCCCCUAAGUCUUUUGUAGGGCAAGACAAAGCUGGCAUACUUAAAAUGAUCUUAGUUUUGGUCUUUCUCUUUCACUUGUGUAUUUGAAGGAAUUAUAUAAUUUCUUGAGUCACAGAUGUUUGAAGUCCUUGCAUUUUACUGGUUGUCUUAAUUUGAGCUGCUGUAACAGAAUACCACGGAUUGGGAAGCUUAAGCGAGUAUCCAUUUCUUACUUAUGGAGCCUGAAUAGUCCAAGAUCUUUAUGAAAGUACAGUAUUAGAGUGUGGUGAAGAUUCUGCCUGACUCACCUGUGGGCGCCUUUUUGCUGAAUGCUAAGAUGGUGUUAGGGCUGAGCGGACUCUGAUCUCUUUCUCCUCAUAGAAACACACUGGCCUUGCCAUGUAAGCUUCAUUCUCAUGACCACAUCAAAACCCAGCUACCUUCUAGUAGCCGUGCCUCCAAGUAUCGAAAUACUGGAAAUGAGAGCUUCAGCGUAGUCAAACCACAGGAAGUGAGCCUCGGUGGGAAAUAGGGAGAAGCUGAUGAGUUGGCAGCAGCGGUAAGAGGGAUCUGCAGCCCCUUCAGAAGACAAGAGGCCAGAAGCAAAGAGGAAAGAGAAAGCCACUGGAGCUC